GACGAACGCUGGCGGCGUGCUUAACACAUGCAAGUCGAACGGAAAGGCCUGCUUUCCCUUGUGGAUUGCGGGUACUCGAGUGGCGAACGGGUGAGUAACACGUGAGUGAUCUGCCCCCAACUUGGGUAUAAGCCUGGGAAACUGGGUCUAAUUCCCGAUAGGACUGCAGGGUGGUGCCUGUGGUGGAAAACGAUUUUCUAGUGGUUGGGGAUGAGCUCGCGGCCUAUCAGCUUGUUGGUGGGGUAAUGGCCUACCAAGGCGGCGACGGGUAGCCGGCCUGAGAGGGUGGACGGCGACAUUGGGACUGAGAUACGGCCCAGACGCCUACGGGAGGCAGCAGUGGGGAAUAUUGCACGAUGGGCGGAAGCCUGAUGCAGCGACGCCGCGUGGGGGAUGACGGGCUUCGGGUUGUAAACUCCUUUCGACCGCGAGGAAGCCACCUGGUUGGAAGGGUGGUGACGGUAGUGGUAGAAGAAGCACCGGCUAACUACGUG
rnacentral:rRNA from 1 species